UACGAAGGGGGCUAGCGUUGUUCGGAAUUACUGGGCGUAAAGGGCGCGUAGGCGGUCCUGAUCGUCGGAUGUGAAAGGCCUGGGCUCAACCUGGGAACUGCAUCCGAUACGGCGGGACUGGAGUGUGGGAGAGGUUGGUGGAAUUCCCAGUGUAGAGGUGAAAUUCGUAGAUAUGGGGAGGAACACCGGUGGCGAAGGCGGCCACCUGGACGGAUACUGACGCUGAGACGCGAAAGCGUGGGGAGCAAACAGG
rnacentral:rRNA from 1 species